CCCAGGAGGAGAGGACACAUGAGUCUGGUGUUCUCGGUGUACGAAUGUUAUGGUGUUUGUGGAGAUCUCAUAAGAAAGAAAAAACCUCCCUCAGUCUCUCAUACCUACAGAUGAAGGAAGAUUAUUGACAGGUGGAUGACAGCACUGAUGCUGAAGACACGGCUGAGCUUGCCAUUUUUAUUAGCACUAUUGAUGACAAGUAUAACAUCCCUGAAGAAAUGGCAUCUUAGUGCCAUUAAAACACACAACUGGGGACCAGGAGGUGGCU